rnacentral:rRNA from 1 species
AUACGAAGGGGGCAAGCGUUGUUCGGAAUAACUGGGCGUAAAGCGCACGUAGGCGGAUUGAUCAGUUAGAGGUGAAAUCCCAGGGCUCAACCCUGGAACUGCCUUUAAUACUGUCAGUCUAGAGAUCGAGAGAGGUGAGUGGAAUUCCGAGUGUAGAGGUGAAAUUCGUAGAUAUUCGGAGGAACACCAGUGGCGAAGGCGGCUCACUGGCUCGAUACUGACGCUGAGGUGCGAAAGCGUGGGGAGCAAACAGGAUUAGAUACCCCAGUAGUCC